CCGUGACAAAGGAGAGUUGGUGGACCGUGCCCGGCCAGCAGGCUGGGCCGGUCACGGGCUUUCGAGUCAGCAACUGAGAUUAUAUGAUGCCCCAACUACGACAUGUGGCUACAGAAUAAUGAAGUCUCAAACGCUUCAGUAAACACCAGCACGUGGUGUGGCACAAGAAUUCAGUGUAUGGUGAAGUUGUCUCAAACACACUUUAGGCCAUCAGGCCGCUCACAAAGCACGUGGUUCCCCAGCCAGCCGCUCCUUGGUGUACUCGUUGGAGAGGAAAAAAAAGGAUACUGCGACCAGUAUGUUAUACGGCGUUUCCAGUGAUGCCUGCAGUGACGUACCUGAAGUGCAGCGCAGCGGCACAUACCAGCGACCCAAGUUCGCGAGAAAGAGGUUCAUCGAUGAAGCGGCUCGCAUACCCAGUGACCCAAGUUGGUCCGACGCUUGGCUUCGAACCCGGUUCCCAUAGCACGUCAGUCCGAUGCUCUACCCAUUAGACUAUCGACUGACUGCUCAGUAACCCAAGUUGGCGGGAAAGAGGUCAGAUACGCAUAAACAUACCACAAACGGCGUGAAGUUCCCAAAGAAUGCUAAUCACAUUAAAAUUUUGCAGUUUCACCCAAAGUGCAAAGAGCACUGAUAGUAAUAGCCAUUUGUGUCGCCAUUUUUUUUUAAUACAGUCCGUCAAAUAAGCAUUGACAUUCUGUUAAAAAUCACUAAAUAUAUUGCGAAUCCGCUAUGCAUUCACAAAGAAACAAAUGCGCUGACAAAGUAGAUCAAACGUAGUAAGCUGAAAUUUUCACGCAUAUCAAUUAAGAAAUAUGAUACUCAACAGGAAAUUCUCGAAAAGAAACUAAUACCGGUGCACAUGUGGCCCUAUAGAGUAUAGUCGCCGAGGAAUGCACUCCUUGCUUCGUACCAUGCACCGAAGCUUUGCAUACGGAGUCCGUGCGGUGCAUUGCAGCAGCGCGCCGGAUGGCUGAGAGCUUGAGACUUUAACAUAUACAGAGAGCUAUACAGUUCACAGUUGCACUCCAAAAGGCCACCUGUGCAUAGAGUAGUACAGUCCAAGCGCUGUCACAUCUUAUUUGUUUCUAACAUCUACAGAGAACAUGAGAGGAGCAACUGUAAUGAUAGACGCACCUUGUGUUUCCGGUAGCAGCUCGGAAACGACGACGACGACCCGCGCUGUGCUUUGCAAGAGAGCUCGGGCUGUUCGCUGCUU
rnacentral:lncRNA from 1 species